GUAACCACACAGGCCGGGUGAUCAGCAGCCGCUCCCGCAAGCUCACUGUGCGUGCUGGUUGCUGGGACCCGCCUGCCUGAACCCCUCUGGCAUCAGGUACAAAGUUCAGGCUGGUGGCUCCCAGAGGGUGUGCUCCGGUCUCACCAGGGUCUUCCAUGGCUGGGAGCUCCUUCAGCUUCUCCUGGGACUCAGGAAGAGAAUCCAACCCCCAAGGCACAGGCGUGCACAUUCCUGGCGAUGACCAAAGCCCAGUCCACCCUAAGGGGCCGCACUUGGUACCAGUAGCUACUGGCUGUCACUAACUGGCUUACUGGACCCUCUUCACCUAAA